rnacentral:rRNA from 1 species
CAGGUCACUCCUACGGGAGGCAGCAGUAAGGAAUAUUGCGCAAUGGGCGACAGCCUGACGCAGCGACGCCGCGUGGGGGAUGAAGGUCUUCGGAUUGUAAACCCCUUUCGGGAGGGAAGAUGGGACGGGCAACCGUUCGGACGGUACCUCCAGAAGCAGCCACGGCUAACUACGUGCCAGCAGCCGCGGUAAUACGUAGGGUGCGAGCGUUAAUCGGAAUUACUGGGCGUAAAGCGUGCGCAGGCGGUUUUGUAAGUCAGAUGUGAAAGCCCCGGGCUCAACCUGGGAACUGCGUUUGAAACUACAAGGCUAGAGUGUAGCAGAGGGGGGUAGAAUUCCACGUGUAGCAGUGAAAUGCGUAGAGAUGUGGAGGAAUACCAAUGGCGAAGGCAGCCCCCUGGGUUAACACUGACGCUCAUGCACGAAAGCGUGGGGAGCAAACAGGAUUAGAUACCCUGGUAGUCCACGCCCUAAACGAUGUCUACUAGUUGUUGGGAGAGUAAAAUCUCUUAGUAACGCAGCUAACGCGUGAAGUAGACCGCCUGGGGAGUACGGUCGCAAGAUUAAAACUUAAAGGAAUUGACG